CUGCUUUUAUUUGGGAAUAAACCUUUCUACGUGUAGGAAGCUGAAGGUACCAAAUGAAUAAGCACCGGCUAACUCCGUGCCAGCAGCCGCGGUAAUACGGAGGGUGCAAGCGUUAUCCGGAAUCAUUGGGUUUAAAGGGUCCGCAGGCGGAUUUAUAAGUCAGUGGUGAAAGCCUACAGCUUAACUGUAGAACUGCCAUUGAUACUGUAAGUCUUGAAUUCGGUCGAAGUGGGCGGAAUGUGUAGUGUAGCGGUGAAAUGCAUAGAUAUUACACAGAACACCGAUAGCGAAGGCAGCUCACUAGGCCUGGAUUGACGCUCAGGGACGAAAGCGUGGGGAUCAAACAGGAUUAGAUACCCUGGUAGUCCACGCUGU
rnacentral:rRNA from 1 species